rnacentral:rRNA from 1 species
ACGUAGGUGACGAGCGUUGUUCGGAAUUAUUGGGCGUAAAGGGUUCGUAGGAGGUUUAUUAAGAUUGGUGUGAAAUCGCAAGGCUCAACCUUGGAGUUCCAUUGAUUACUGAUGAACUAGAGUGUCGUAGAGGAAAGCGGAAUUCAAGGUGUAGCGGUGGAAUGCGUAGAUAUCUGUAAGAACACCGACAGCGAAGGCAGCUUUCUGGACAAUAACUGACUCUGAGGAACGAAAGCUUGGGGAGCAAACAG